CGGAGGAUGCAAGCGUUAUCCGGAAUUAUUGGGCGUAAAGCGUCCGCAGGUGGCACUUCAAGUCUGCUGUCAAAGACCGGGCUUAACCCUGGAGAGGCAGUGGAAACUGAAGCGCUAGAGUGUCGUAGGGGUAGAGGGAAUUCCUGGUGUAGCGGUGAAAUGCGUAGAGAUCAGGAAGAACAUCGGUGGCGAAAGCGCUCUACUGGACGACAACUGACACUCAGGGACGAAAGCUAGGGAGCGAAUGGGAUU
rnacentral:rRNA from 1 species